AUGGGAAGAGCAACCGAGAUGAAGACUUCCACAGCCUACACACCCGCAGGAAGUAAACAGCUCGUUACCCAGAAUGCCCGCCGCUUCCGGUGCUUAAACUUCCUCUUCCGGUGUGGGCGGGCGCCGGCUCCGCCCCUACCCCCGCCAGAUGAGAUGGUUUCUCCCACCGGCAAGCGGGGAGGCGGGGCGGCCGGCUGCCACCUGGGCCCUGGCGCGUCCUCACCACCUGGGCCCGCGGAGGAAGCAUUGGGGCAGUGAAUCCAGUGUCUCCCUCUGGAUUAUCUCUGCAGACCCAGGACAGAUCCUAGGACAGCCCCACCCCUCCUUCCUAACUGCGAGAGCGCUGUAGGGUUUCCACUUGCCUCCCACAGGAAUGUUGGCUGGGUAGCUACGGCGGAAAAAAAUGCGUAUUUAUCUUUUAAAACUAUAUGUCUGUUUGCUCGUUUCGGCUGAUAAUUUAUAGUUUGCGCAGUUCUUAGUACUUAGACCACGCUUCCUUUACUAAAGAAUAUUUGUAGAUUAGUGUCCUUUUUUUCCCCUUUCAUUUCACGUAUAGGAAGCAAAAUGCCUUGUUCUAUGGGCACCAAACCACCACCACCCCUACCAAACCUUUCUUGGGGAAGCAGAAGGGGCACUUGUGCCGUGGUGAGGAAGCGACAGAGGCCCCUUCUGCCCCUGGAGACUUCAGGCCAACGGAGCACCAGCUCUCUUCGUCCUCCCAAUAGCCCGAGUGCAGGCAAAACACAGUCAUUUGUAUUUAUCUGAAAGGAGCUUUGGGAUAUAAAUAGUUUCAGGCCCCGCUGCUCUGUCCUUCCAGGUCAGCCUCCUGAUUGAAACUGAGCUGCUUCCGGGGAGGCUUACUUCUUAUUGCUGGUCCCAUGCUGUGUUCAGAUGGGUUCUGUGACAGGUUUGGAUGUUUUCUAUCACUGCAUAAAACUUUCCACUUUGGAACAUGUUUUCUACUGUCUGCUAUCUCACCUAAGUCCUGCAGCAACUAUGAAGUAGGCCCAUUUUAUGGACUGAAAAAGUGAGGCACAGAGUAUUGCCCAGGGUCACAAAGUCAAGUCACCGAAGCAUAAUGUGUGAAGUGAACAGUAUAAUAAUAUGACUGAAUCACAGUGGGAAUCUAGUUACGCUUUCUCUUUCCCUAAUCUCACUAAGCCACACUUUUAGGGGCUUACAAACCAUUUCUUAUUGCCAAGCUCUCUACCCUAUCCUUUGAUAAAUCGGAGCCUAGCCUCUGAUAACAGAAAUAAUUUAUUUCUCUUGAUGUAGAAAGAGAUGAAGUUGUUACCCUAAGUGACAGUCAUGACAGAACAAAACCACAAGACCAGACCACAUUUGUGGAUAAAUAUAUUAGCAAAUAAAUACAUUUCUCAACGUAG